UCCCUGGUGGUCCAGUGGUUAGGAUUCAGCGCUCUCAUUGCCAUGGCCUGGGUUCAACCCCAGUCGGGGAA
rnacentral:tRNA from 1 species